AACAGGGCUGAUCUGGCGACUUAGUUGUCCAGCGAAAAAUGUUCUUGAGGCGACGUAACCGUCCCGACUGAUCCUAGCUUCCGAGCGUCCACUCUUCAGCGAGCAAGAAGACUGCUUUCCACUUCAGUUUGGAUCAGGAUCGCAUCUCCAAGCGAUGACUAACGUCGCGUACUUGCGUAACCACUGAACGCNNNNNNNNNNNNCCAACUAGUUGGAAGUCGUUAUCCGGACCCACCAAUUUCAUUCGCUGCAAGGUGUGAGCUGUUCGGGAA
rnacentral:misc_RNA from 1 species